GCCUCAGUAACGGCGAGUGAAGCGGCAACAGCUCAAAUUUGAAAUCUGGCCCCAGGCCCGAGUUGUAAUUUGCAGAGGAUGCUUUUGGCGCGGUGCCUUCCGAGUUCCCUGGAACGGGACGCCAUAGAGGGUGAGAGCCCCGUCUGGUUGGACACCAAGCCUCUGUAAAGCUCCUUCGACGAGUCGAGUAGUUUGGGAAUGCUGCUCAAAAUGGGAGGUAUAUGUCUUCUAAAGCUAAAUACCGGCCAGAGACCGAUAGCGCACAAGUAGAGUGAUCGAAAGAUGAAAAGCACUUUGAAAAGAGAGUUAAAUAGCACGUGAAAUUGUUAAAAGGGAAGCGUUUAUGACCAGACUUGGGCCGGUUAAUCAUCCAGCGUUCUCGCUGGUGCACUUUGCCGGUCCAGGCCAGCAUCAGUUCGUCGCGGGGGAUAAAGGCGUCGGGAAUGUGGCUCCUCGGAGUGUUAUAGCCCUUCGCGCAAUACCCUGCGGUGGACUGAGGUUCGCGCUCUGCAAGGAUGCUGGCGUAAUGGUCAUCAACGACCCGUCUUGAAACACGGACCAAGGAGUCGUCUUCGUAUGCGAGUGUUCGGGUGUAAAACCCCUACGCGUAAUGAAAGUGAACGCAGGUGAGAGCUUCGGCGCAUCAUCGACCGAUCCUGAUGUUCUCGGAUGGAUUUGAGUAAGAGCAUACGGGGCCGGACCCGAAAGAAGGUGAACUAUGCCUGUAUAGGGUGAAGCCAGAGGAAACUCUGGUGGAGGCUCGCAGCGGUUCUGACGUGCAAAUCGAUCGUCAAUAUGGGCAUGGGGGGCGAAAGACUAAUCGAACUUCUAGUAGUGUU
rnacentral:rRNA from 1 species